rnacentral:rRNA from 1 species
AUGUGCUGGCAGGAAAAAAUGGGAAAUGUGGAAAAGGAAAGGAGACGCCAGUCCCCAAUAUCUUCUCUAGGGUUUAUAGAAUCAUGGAAAAGGGCCAUAAACAAUACCCAAGGGAAACCCCACCCCCUCCCCUCUCCCCUUCCCUGUCUGUCUGUCUGUCUGUCUCCAUCCAUCCUUCUCUCCCCUCCUCCGCCCCCGCUCCCCUGCGCCUCCUGCCCUCCUCCCAACCCCACCCGGCCACCACCUCGCCCCACCCUGCGUGCCCGGCACGUGCUCCUCUCCCUCUUCAACCCUAACUCCGGUGACUACCCGAGCGCGUGCGCGCGGACCACCGGCCAGGCCAAAGGAGCCGCCUUUUCAUUUCUGCCUUCUCGGGAGGGAGGGAAGGAGGGAGGGUUCUCGGGGACGCGCAUGGACCAUGGCGGCGGCAGCGGUGGGGGUGGAAGUGGAGGCGGGGGCGGAGCGCCGUCGAGCAGCAACAGCGGCGGGGGGAGCGCCGGAGGUACGAGCGGAAGCCGUGGCGGCGGCAGCGAUCACCAUCCGCACCACCCAUUCUACUACGCUGGCCCAGCGGAGCCCAACAACGUGCAGCAGCAGCCGCAGCCGCAGCAGUUCAUUGGGUCGCUCGCCAUAACCCCCGUCGUCACCGACCAAGCCCCGGCUUCCUCGGCGGAAAAGAAGGCGGUCGCGCCAGUGACUCCAUCGGCCGGCGCACUGGCGAAGCGGCCAUCCAAGGACCGGCACACCAAGGUGGAUGGCCGGGGAAGGAGGAUACGGAUGCCGGCUCUGUGCGCGGCGCGGGUUUUCCAGCUCACGCGGGAGCUCGGCCACAAGUCCGACGGCGAGACCAUCGAGUGGCUGCUGCAGCAGGCGGAGCCAGCCAUCCUCGCCGCCACCGGCACCGGCACCAUCCCGGCCAACUUCUCCUCCCUCAACAUCAGUCGCGCGGCCUCCGGCACCAGCCGCCCCGCGCCAUUCCCCGCCCUCGCGCUCCACCCCCACCACCACCACCACCAGUCGCCGCACCCUCAGCACGACAUGUCCACCAUGCUGGGUUACCACCACCUGCUCCCGCCGCCGCAGGAGCCGCCCCAGGACGCAAAUAGUCCCGGCUCGUUCAUGAGGAAGCGGUACCGAGAGGACCUGUUCAAGGAGGACGACGAGCGGCAAGAUCCUAACGCGCCCAAGGCGCGCGAGCAGCAGGCGGCGCCGCCCGCCGCAAUGUGGGCCGUGGCGCCGAACAGCGCGGCGCCUGGAGGCGCGUUCUGGAUGUUGCCCGUGUCCGCGAGCCAGGCUGCCGCGGCUCGGCCGACCGAGCAGCCUAUGUGGUCUUUCGGCGGCGGCGGGGGGAGCAGCACCGUGCAGGCGCCGCUGCAGUUCAUGUCAACAAGGGUGAACUACCCUGGCAGCGCCGGCGCGAUGGGCGGCAUUCCCGACACCAACAUCGGCAUGCUUGCUGGGCUCAAUGCUUACGACCGCGGCGGCGGGGGCGGAGGAGGUACGGAAGAAGAGCAGCAGCAGCAGCAGGAGCAAGACCAGCAACAGGAAAUGGAGCAGCAGCGCGACGGCAGCGGCGGUGGCAACGAGGGCGAAGAGGACGGCGACGACGACAGCGGCGGAGAAGAGGAAGGCCAUGGCAACAACAGCUCACAGUAA